CCUACGGGUGGCAGCAGUGAGGAAUAUUGGUCAAUGGGCGAGAGCCUGAACCAGCCAAGUCGCGUGAAGGAUGAAGGUUCUAUGGUUUGUAACCUUCUUUUAUAUGGGAGUAAAGUGAGGAACGUGUUCCUCUUUGUAUGUACCAUAUGAAUAAGCAUCGGCUAACUCCGUGCCAGUAGCCGCGGUAAUACGGAGGAUGCGAGCGUUAUCCGGAUUUAUUGGGUGUAAAGGGUGCGUAGGUGGUUCAUUAAGUCAGCGGUGAAAGUCUGUGGCUCAACGCUAAAAUUGCCGUUGAAACUGGUUGACUGGAGUGUAUUUGAGGUAGGCGGAAUGCGUGGUGUAGCGGUGAAAUGCAUAGAUAUCACGCAGAACUCCGAUUGCGAAGGCAGCUUACUAAAAUAUAACUGACACUGAGGCACGAAAGCGUGGGGAUCAAACAGGAUUAGAUACCCUUGUAGUC
rnacentral:rRNA from 1 species